CUGCGGCUGAGCCUCGUAGUCUAGCGAAGCGUGGCCUCAGAUGUGUCCAUGUCGCGCGGAAAGAGGCGUUCAGGGGACAUUCAUAAUGACAGAGAAAAUAAACAUGAACCAAAUGGAGAUUAAGGGAACUCUCUCUCGUUGAACGCAAACACAAGAACAAACGCACGCUCUUGUACACACGCGCGCACAAACGGGGGGACACCCCUGGUCCCACGUCGCCUCCUCCUUUUGGAGCUGACGAGAUGAAAGAGCAGCUUCUUCGCGUCGCAGAAUGCCUCCACAGUCACGAGGAGCAGCAGCAGCGGAACACGGCCCCUGAAGCAGCCACAGAGCUCCUGUCACAAACACUGUUGAACUGGCCACAUGAAGAGGCCUGGGACUAAAGCUCAAAGAAACUCAACAGCGGAUCACCUUUCAUGACUCAGUGUUAUCACCUCUGCAGUAAGAACACGCAUUUUACUGAAUAUAACACUUUAAUAUACAAACUGAUACUAAAGUACAAAUUAAAGUUACGCUGCGGAACAUUUGGGAGGACAUUAUAUAAGCGUGCCAGACUGUCAAAUGUAU